GCAGGCGUGUCCAAAUGGUAACGCUGUCUGCUUUGUGAGCGGAUGACCAUGGGUUCGAUUCCCAUCAGUUCCA
rnacentral:tRNA from 1 species